GACAGAGGUGCCGAGCGUUAGGCGGAAUCACUGGGCUUAAAGCGUGUGUAGGCGGGUCGUUAAGUGCCUUGUGAAAUCCCACAGCUCACCUGUGGAACUGCUUGGCAUACUGGCGAUCUUGAGCCACUUAGGGGCAACCGGAACAAACGGUGGAGCGGUGAAAUGCGUAGAUAUCGUUUGGAACGCCAAUGGCGAAGGCAGCUUGCUGGCAUAUUUCUGACGCUAAGGCACGAAAGCGUGGGGAGCGAACAGG
rnacentral:rRNA from 1 species